AGUGAACGCUGGCGGUAGGCCUAACACAUGCAAGUCGAACGGCAGCGCAGUAAGAGCUUGCUCUUACGGGUGGCGAGUGGCGGACGGGUGAGGAAUACAUCGGAAUCUACUUUUUCGUGGGGGAUAACGUAGGGAAACUUACGCUAAUACCGCAUACGACCUACGGGUGAAAGCAGGGGAUCUUCGGACCUUGCGCGAUUGAAUGAGCCGAUGUCGGAUUAGCUAGUUGGCGGGGUAAAGGCCCACCAAGGCGACGAUCCGUAGCUGGUCUGAGAGGAUGAUCAGCCACACUGGAACUGAGACACGGUCCAGACUCCUACGGGAGGCAGCAGUGGGGAAUAUUGGACAAUGGGCGCAAGCCUGAUCCAGCCAUACCGCGUGGGUGAAGAAGGCCUUCGGGUUGUAAAGCCCUUUUGUUGGGAAAGAAAAGCAGCAGGUUAAUACCCCGCUGUUCUGACGGGACCCAAAGAAUAAGCACCGGCUAACUUCGU
rnacentral:rRNA from 1 species